UAUUUAUUUUGAGAGUGACAGACACAGAGUGAGGAAGGGAGGGGCAGAGAGUGAGGGGCGAGAGAGAGAAUCUCAGGCAGGUUCCCCACGGCCAGCAGAGUCUGACGUGGGGCUCAAACUCAAGAAACUGCGAGAUCAUGACCUAAGCUGAAACCAAGAGUCAAAAGCUGAACCAACCGAGCCACCCAGGUGGCCCCAUAAUUUUAGAAAGCCAUCACUAGAUAUUAUUUGCACUGUGUUCAUUGUUUGCCAAUCUUAUAAGCAGUAUGAGGCCGGGGUUAUUUGUGCUGUUAUUCCAUACUGAGUCCCUAUGGGAUAACAGAUCAUCCGGGAUUUAACUCGAGCACAGAAACACACAAAAAAGGUGAUUAAAUAGGGGCGCCUGGGUGGCUAAGUGGGUUAGGCUUCCGAUUUUAGCUCAGGUCAUGAUCUCGCAGUUUGUAGGUUUGAGCCCCAUGUCAGGCUCUGUGUGGACAACUCAGAGCUGGAGCCUGCUUCAGAUUCUGUGUCUCCCUCUGUCCUUUCCCUCCUUUGCACUCUGUCUCUCUUUCUCUCUCAGAAAAGAAUAAAUGUUUAAAAAAAUCUACAAGAAAGUGAUUAAAUAAAUGAUAGGACGUCCUACGGGGAACUUACAUUUUAGACACCAUACUUGGAAAAGUUCUUUCUUUCCUAGAAGCAGAGAAAGACUGAGAGACACGGGUGUCACUGCGAAGGCGCCGCAAGCGGCUGACGGUCGGAAAGCCUGAGGUCGCCAGGGCACACGUGCUCCUCAGCCAGUGGCUUGCGUUGGCAGCAAGUGUGACCCACAAAGACAAAAUGGGAGAGAGGACGUAGGAGGAGACGAAUGUGCUCACCAGGGCCAGGACGGACGAGGACCACGGAGCCGCUGGCCCAGGCCAUGAGGCCCGAACAAGUGACAUCAGUGAAGGAGAACAUGACUGCAGGAACAUGCAAAGCAAUAAAGAUAUUCAACAGGAGAUGCAGGAUCCAGCAGAGGAAACAGCAGAUGCCAGUGCACUCCGGGAAUGCAACCCUGAGCUCCACCCACUGGGAGGCGUUGGUGUUGAGCUUAAGGGCCUGGAAACCACUGAGCAGG
rnacentral:lncRNA from 1 species